rnacentral:misc_RNA from 1 species
UUAAAUAUUUGUUUUAUACUCAGACUGCAAUAUUACAGAGUUUCAGGUCCUCUAGCAGGCACUGACCAGCAGGUGCCGGCGGUCCGAGGACGGGCCUGCUAAAGCAACAAGUUUGUAUAAGCAAGGGUGGAGUAUCUGUCAGCGAUGGGCGAACCCACCGCUGAAGAAAGCUCUCUAAUGAUCCUUCCGCAGGUUCACCUACGGAAA